CUACGGGGGGCUGCAGUGGGGAAUAUUGGACAAUGGGGGAAACCCUGAUCCAGCAAUGCCGCGUGUGUGAAGAAGGCCUGCGGGUUGUAAAGCACUUUCGGUUGGGAGGACUGCUUCUAGCACUAAUAUUGUUGGAAGUUGACGUUACCUUCAGAAGAAGCACCGGCUAACUCCGUGCCAGCAGCCGCGGUAAUACGGAGGGUGCAAGCGUGAAUCGGAAUUACUGGGCGUAAAGCGCGCGUAGGCGGCUAGAUCAGUCGGGUGUGAAAGCCCCGGGCUUAACCUGGGAACUGCAUCCGAUACUGUCUAGCUUGAGUACAGGAGAGGAGAGUGGAAUUCCACAUGUAGCGGCGAAAUGCGUAGAUAUGUGGAGGAACACCAAUGGCGAAGGCAGCUCUCUGGCCUGAUACUGACGCUGAGGUGCGAAAGCGUGGGGAGCAAACAGGAUUAGAUACCCGCGUAGUC
rnacentral:rRNA from 1 species